rnacentral:tRNA from 1 species
AAGUUCGGUACUUUAAUAUAAAAGACGAAGUUUGCAUUUUCGCAAUGAGUUUACUCUCCCGAACUUG